GCAACCCUCGUCGCUAGUAAUUUUCUAGCGAUACUGCCGUAAACGAGGAGGAAGGUGGGGAGUGACGUCAAGUCAGCAUGGCCCUUACGCCUUGGGCUACACACACGCUACAAUGGGUGAUACAACGGGUUGCGAGAGAGCGAUCUGGAGCUAAUCCCUAAAAUCAUCCUCAGUUCGGAUUGCAGGCUGAAACUGCCUGCAUGAAGUUGGAGUUGCUAGUAACCGCAGGUCAGCACACUGCGGUGAAUACGUUCUCGGGCCUU
rnacentral:rRNA from 1 species